GAUGAACGCUGGCGGCGUGCUUAACACAUGCAAGUCGAACGAGAAGUGAAGACGGAAACCUUCGGGCGGAAGGCUUUAUUUCGAGUGGCGGACGGGUGAGUAACGCGUGGGUAACCUGCCUCAUACAGGGGGAUAACAGUUGGAAACGACUGUUAAUACCGCAUAAGACCACAGCACCGCAUGGUGCGGGGGUAAAAACUCCGGUGGUAUGAGAUGGACCCGCGUUCGAUUAGCCCGGUGGCGGGGUAACGGCCCACCAAAGCGACGAUCGAUAGCCGAUCUGAGAGGAUGACCGGCCACAUUGGGACUGAGACACGGCCCAAACUCCUACGGGAGGCAGCAGUGGGGAAUAUUGCACAAUGGGGGAAACCCUGAUGCAGCGACGCCGCGUGAGUGAAGAAGUAUUUCGGUAUGUAAAGCUCUAUCAGCAGGGAAGAAAAUGACGGUACCUGAGUAAGAAGCCCCGGCUAACUACGUG
rnacentral:rRNA from 1 species